rnacentral:rRNA from 1 species
CGCGUAGGCGGCUUUAUAAGUCUGGAGUGAAAGUCCUCUUUUCAAGGGAGGAAUUGCUUUGGAAACUAUAGAGCUUGAGUGCAGGAGAGGUUAUCGGAAUUCCCGGUGUAGCGGUGAAAUGCGUAGAUAUCGGGAGGAACAUCGGUGGCGAAGGCGGGUAACUGGACUGCAACUGACGCUGAGGCGCGAAAGUGUGGGAGCAAACA